rnacentral:rRNA from 1 species
UACGUAGGGGGCGAGCGUUAUCCGGAAUUAUUGGGCGUAAAGGGUAAGUAGGCGGUUAUGUAAGCUGAAGGUAAAAGGCAUAGGCUCAACCUAUGUAAGCCUUCAGGACUGCAUAACUUGAGUGCAGGAGAGGUAAGCGGAAUUUCUAGUGUAGCGGUGGAAUGCGUAGAUAUUAGAAGGAACACCGGAAGCGAAGGCGGCUUACUGGACUGUAACUGACGCUGAGGUACGAAAGUGUGGGGAGCAAACAGG